rnacentral:rRNA from 1 species
UACGUAGGGGGCGAGCGCUGUCCGGAAUCAUUGGGCGUAAAGCGCGUGUAGGCGGCCCGGUAAGUCCGCUGUGAAAGUCCAGGGCUCAACCCUGGGAUGCCGGUGGAUACUGUCGGGCUCGAGUCCGGAAGAGGCGAGUGGAAUUCCUGGUGUAGCGGUGAAAUGCGCAGAUAUCAGGAGGAACACCAAUGGCGAAGGCAGCUCGCUGGGACGUGACUGACGCUGAGACGCGAAAGCGUGGGGAGCAAACAGG